CCCCACAACCUCCCCUGCCAACGGGAACGGUAAACACCUCGCCCUCCCCCUGCACCAGGGGACAGUAAACCCCACAACCUCCCCUGCCAAUGGGGACGGUAAACCCCACAACCUUCCCUACCAACGGGGAUAGUAAACCCCGCGCCCCCACUCCCUGCACCAGGGAACAAUAAACCCCGUGUCUAGCCCCUUCAUUAAGUGACCGUUGUUUCCCCCCCCCCCCCCCGUCUCGCGCUUCCGCAGGUUUGAAAGCGGAUACACCGGCGCCUUUACCUCCAGCGCCUGGCAGAGCGAGGGAAGGGCGAUCACCGCCACCAGCAGCAGCAUCCUUCGUCGACAAGUGGCCCAGAGCAGAUUGGGCGGAGCCAGUGGAGCGGGGAUGGUGGCCCAGAGCAGAGCAGAGAUGGCCAGUGGUCUGGAGUGGGAACGGUGACCAGCGUGCCCGGAGUGGAACGGGAACAGCCAUUGGCUUGAAGCAGAGCAGGAACUGCUCUAGCAGCUCAGAGCCAGGAUGGCUACUGGUUGGGAAUCGGUGGGGCCUGGUCAGACCAUGUGGAAACCCUUAUUGAAAGACUGUAAUCUCUAUCUUGUUAGCUUUAUUUUUUAUUUUUCUACCUGUACUUAUACAGUGUGUAUCUAUAAUGUAGUGUAACUUUUUUCUUUUUUUUGUACUUGUACUUAAGAGUUGUACCUAGGUACUUUGUACCUAAGAUGACAUCAUGUGUUGGCAACAUUGUGCACUGUUCAUACUCCUGUUCUUUUGUAACUUGAGGAUACGUGACAAUAAACCCUACUCUAAUUCACAA